rnacentral:rRNA from 2 species
UGGGGAAUAUUGCACAAUGGAGGGAACUCUGAUGCAGCGACGCCGCGUGAACGAAGAAGGCUUUCGAGUCGUAAAGUUCUUUUAUAUGGGAAGAUAAUGACGGUACCAUAAGAAAAAGCCCCGGCUAACUACGUGCCAGCAGCCGCGGUAAUACGUAGGGGGCUAGCGUUGUCCGGAAUCACUGGGCGUAAAGGGUUCGCAGGCGGAAAUGCAAGUCAGGUGUAAAAGGCAGUAGCUUAACUACUGUAAGCAUUUGAAACUGCGUAUCUUGAGAAGAGUAGAGGUAAGUGGAAUUUUUAGUGUAGCGGUGAAAUGCGUAGAUAUUAAAAAGAAUACCGGUGGCGAAGGCGACUUACUGGGCUCAUUCUGACGCUGAGGAACGAAAGCGUGGGUAGCAAACAGG